rnacentral:rRNA from 1 species
GCCCAGACUCCUACGGGAGGCAGCAGUGGGGAAUAUUGGGCAAUGGGCGCAAGCCUGACCCAGCAACGCCGCGUGAAGGAAGAAGGCUUUCGGGUUGUAAACUUCUUUUGACAGGGAAGAGCAGAAGACGGUACCUGUCGAAUAAGCCACGGCUAACUACGUGCCAGCAGCCGCGGUAAUACGUAGGGAGCGAGCGUUGUCCGGAAUUACUGGGUGUAAAGGGAGCGUAGGCGGGACUGCAAGUUGGGUGUCAAAUCUACCGGCUCAACCGGUAGCCGCACUCAAAACUGCAGUUCUUGAGUGAAGUAGAGGCAGGCGGAAUUCCUAGUGUAGCGGUGAAAUGCGUAGAUAUUAGGAGGAACACCAGUGGCGAAGGCGGCCUGCUGGGCUUUUACUGACGCUGAGGCUCGAAAGUGUGGGGAGCAAACAGGAUUAGAUACCCCCGUAAAA